CUUGGUGGUUAUUGCGUCGGGGAUCACCUCUUCCCAUUCCGAACAGAGUAGUUAAGCCCGAUUGCGCCGAUGGUACUGGUUAACCCCGGGAGAGUAGGUCGCCGCCAACC
rfam:Cryomorphaceae bacterium BACL21 MAG-121220-bin10 contig00110.0_1_121220-bin10, whole genome shotgun sequence.